rnacentral:rRNA from 1 species
AGACGAACUGUCCAAACGUUAUUCGGAAUCACUGGGCUUAAAGGGUGCGUAGGCGGACCUGCAAGUGGGAUCUGAAAUCCCUCGGCUCGACCGAGGAACUGGGUCCCAAACUGCCGGACUAGAGUGAGACAGGGGUAAGUGGAACUUGCGGUGGAGCGGUGAAAUGCUUUGAUAUCGCAAGGAACACCGGUGGCGAAGGCGACUUACUGGGUCUUAACUGACGCUGAAGCACGAAAGCCAGGGUAGCGAACGGGAUUAGAUACCCCGGUAGUCCUGGCUGUAAACUCUGAGUACUUGGUCGGAGGGGCCUCCAUACCUUUCCGGCCGUAGCGAAAGUUUUAAGUACUCCGCCUGGGGAGUAUGGUCGCAAGGCUGAAACUCAAAUGAAUUGACGGGG